UUACAAUGGGCGGCACAGAGGGAAGCCAGGUGGCGACACCGCGCGGAACCGAAAGCCGUUCUCAGUUCGGAUUGGAGUCUGCAACCCGACUCCAUGAAGCUGGAUUCGCUAGUAAUCGCGCAUCAGCCACGGCGCGGUGAAUACGUUCCCGGGCCUUGUACACACCGCCCGUCAAGCCAUGAAAGCCGGGGGGUACCUGAAGUGCGUAACCGCAAGGAGCGCCCUAGGGUAAAACUGGUGAUUGGGGCUAAGUCGUAACAAGGUAUC
rnacentral:rRNA from 1 species